rnacentral:rRNA from 1 species
ACUGCUAUCGGGGUGGGACUAAGACAUGCGAGUCGAGCGUCUCUAGCUAUGUUGAGACGCGGCAUACGGCUCAGUAACACGUGGCUAACCUACCCUCAGGACGGGGACAAACCCGGGAAACUGGGGCUAAUAUCCGAUAGGCGAGGAAUCCUGGAAUGGUUCUUCACCCAAAGGACAUUGGAAACAUGCUUUCUCUGUCGCCUGGGGAUGGGGCCGCGUCCGAUCAGGUUGUUGGUGAGGUAAUGGCUCACCAAGCCUUUAACCGGUACGGGCCGUGAGAGCGGUAGCCCGGAGAUGGGUACUGAGACAAGGACCCAGGCCCUACGGGGCGCAGCAGUCGCGAAAACUCCGCAAUGCACGAAAGUGUGACGGGGCUACCCCGAGUGCCGUCCGCUGAGGAUGGCUUUUCCUUGGUGUAACUAGCCGGGGGAAUAAGGAGAGGGCAAGACUGGUGUCAGCCGCCGCGGUAAUACCAGCUCUCCGAGUGGUAGGGAUGAUUAUUGGGCUUAAAGCGUCCGUAGCCGGUUUAGCAAGUUUCCUGUUAAAUUCAGCGACCUAAUCGUUGAGCCGCGGGAAAUACUACUAGGCUAGGAGGCGGGAGAGGUCGACGGUACUUCUGGGGUAGGGGUGAAAUCCUAUAAUCCCGGGAGGACCACCAGUGGCGAAGGCUGUCGACUAGAACGCGCUCGACGGUGAGGGACGAAAGCUGGGGGAGCGAACCGGAUUAGAUACCCGGGUAGUCCCAGCUGUAAACGAUGCGGGCUGGGUGUUGGGGUGGCUACGUGCCACUUCAGUGCCGCAGGGAAGCCAUUAAGCCCGCCGCCUGGGGAGUACGGCCGCAAGGCUGAAACUUAAAGGAAUUGGCGGGGGAGCACCACAAGGCGUGAAG